AAAAAAAAAAAAAAAAAAAAAAAAACAUGACUUGAAUUUCUUCCGUAUGAUCAUAGCUUGGAAGACAAUGUACGGGAAAACAGUAUGCGAACCUUCGACUCGUUUCUAUUCUGCCAGAUCGAUCGCGUUACUUGCAGCUUUCCUAACCUUUAAAAAACAACCGACUGAGUCCUCCGUGCUCUUAACCAUCGCGUUUCAAGAUUCCCCCACGUGAAUCUCCCAUCACCCUUGAAGCACGCCGGCCCUCGGGCGCGUUAAUUUUGCCCGGCGAAUUGAUUUCGACCCUGGUCGUGGCUAUAGCCCGUCCGUUCUCGUAGCCCGUUCCUGCAUUAACUCUCUGCCCAGUUAGAUCGAAGUUGCGAACCGCCAAGAGGGAGAGCCCCGGGAUCAGUGAGAGGAACGAGAGUCAGUGAACGAGGGAGGGAAUAGGAGAGGUAUGUACGUGGUUUUAAAGGGAACGUGUUGGAUACACGGAGCUUCGGAGAGGUUAUGGCUGCGUGAGCGAAUGAAAAAAAAAAAAAAAAAAAAAAAGCAGGAAAUGAUACAGAUCGAAAAAAGAAAGAAGAAACGAUGGAUGUUUUACGAUGUCACGGAAUUAGAAAAAUUCAAAGCUGAACGUGAAGAAUACAGAACUUGAGAAUACAAGGACGUAAAAUUGUCGAAGAACAGGUGUAUCUAUAAGACUUUUGCAAUGGACACUGUAGCUAUAUGCGUUUAAAAAUAUAUAUUGAUGAUCCAUCGUAGAAAGAAAAGAAACCCCAACAACAGUCGGGACAAGGAAAGCGACAUUGGUGAAACGCAGCGGACAAAAAGAAAUAGAAAAUGACAGGAAAACGAGAGACGAAAUAAAAGAUAAAUAGAGUGAGAGCGGGUAAAGAGAGAAAGGAUAAAAAAAAAAAAGAUACGAUAGGGCGGAGGAAUGAAAAUGCGAACAGAUAGAGACAAGGUAGGAGAAAGGGGGAGGGGAAAAAACAGAGUGAGAGAGAGAGAGAGAGAAGCAACGACGCGUGAGAGACGAAGAGGAAGAGGGUUUAUGUUCCAAAGCCCACAACCCACCCCCUAUAAAUUCAGCCAAAGGGGGGGGGGCGGAGGGAGAUUUCCAUUAAAGGGAAACUGUCGUUGCGGGAGUGUUUCUGUCGAGCAGCUUAAAGUUGGAUGGAACGUUCCGACCUAACCUAUAGGGUCACGAAGAUAUGAGCAUAUCUCGCUUUAAAGCCAACUCGAAUUCUAUCGCAUCCCGCCCCCGCCAGACCCUCGUGGAUUACUCCCCAUCUUCUGCGCGCGAUUUCUCCUCGUUUCUUUCUUUUUUUCUUCUCGUUGCUCUUGCGACCCUCGUGCAGAGAGAGACGCAUCUCUGACGCUCCACGAAUCGCCCGAACACCGAGGGUGUCGAGAACGCGGACAGGGAUUCCCCGUCGAUUGGAAUGGCAUCGUCGCAAAUUAGAGGCUACUCCCUUUGGCCAAGGCAAUGCUGUAUUAUGGGAUUCUGCGACAUGAUCAAGAGGGGCCCUGGUAACCACGGUAGCGUUACGGAUCGAUCGGUAAUACCGCGAUCGAUAAUGCGUCCCCGCAACGUGUUCCAACCAAAGCUGAUGGUACAUAUUAUGGCCGGCGAGAAUGAACUUUGUUAUGUGUUUGAAGGGCUGAAUUUUCGUUUUAAACCACCCUAAAUCCAAGGAUAUUUCGUUCAAUUGCAUCGUAUCUGCUUGUACUGAUUAAUUACGUUCAAUUUCGAGUACGAACUUUCCAAACGAAUAUAAAAAAAAAAAAAAAACGCUUCAUUGGGAGCUGGGGGAGCUCAUCACUUUUCCUAGCAAUUGUAACCUCUAAAUUCAAAAUAGACGUUCUUGAAUUUCGAUUGAUCGAAGAGAAAGGGGAAAAGAAGAGGGUGAAAUAUUUAAGGUGGUCUAAAGCAAAUUUUAACUUGAGCAUGGUUCAGUAUAAUGAGAAUGCACGGGCGUGGAAAUCGGGUUUCCCUUUUUUGGAAAAUUUUUAUCACACUCCACGUGUACUGUGCGAUGUGUGUACGUGGCGCACGUUGUGACGAUUUUCACACUUGUGCAUUCUCCCUGUUAUGCAAUCAAUGUAAACUUGGUCCCAACGCCUCUUCGCCGAAAUAUGAACGGACAGUAGAAAACUUAUCAUCUACGUAUGUAAUGCGUUAAUUACGUAAUACUGUAAUGAAUAGGUGGG